UAGUCCACGCUGUAAACGAUGAUCACUCGCUGUUGGCAAUACAUCGUCAGCGGCUGAGCGAAAGCAUUAAGUGAUCCACCUGGGGAGUACGUUGGCAACGAUGAAACUCAAAGGAAUUGACGGGGGCCCGCACAAGCGGAGGAACAUGUGGUUUAAUUCGAUGAUACGCGAGGAACCUUACCUGGGCUUAAAUGUAGAAUGACGGAUUGGGAAACUAAUCUUUCUUCGGACGUUUUACAAGGUGCUGCAUGGUUGUCGUCAGCUCGUGCCGUGAGGUGUCGGGUUAAGUCCCAUAACGAGCGCAACCCCUAUCGUUAGUUGCCAGCGAGUAAUGUCGGGGACUCUAACGAAACUGCCGGUGUAAACCGAGAGGAAGGUGGGGAUGACGUCAAAUCAGCACGGGCCCUUACGUCCAGGGGCUACACACGUGUUACAAUGGGCCAGUACAAAGGGGCAGCUACCUGGUGACAGGGAUGCUAAUCCCUAAAGCUGGGUCUCAGUUCGGGAUCGAAGUCUGCAAC
rnacentral:rRNA from 1 species